GCUGGCGGCGUACUUAACACAUGCAAGUCGAACGGGGAUCAGUUGUGUAGCAAUACAUUUCUGGUCCUAGUGGCGCACGGGUGAGUAACACGUGGGUAACCUGCCCUUGAGUUCGGGAUACCCCCUCGAAAGGGGGGCUAAUACCGGAUACGUUCCUCGGAUCGACAGGUCUGGGGAGGAAAGGUGGCGCAAGCUGCCGCUCUUGGAGGGGCUCGCGGCCUAUCAGCUAGUUGGCGGGGUAACGGCCCACCAAGGCUAUGACGGGUAGCUGGUCUGAGAGGACGACCAGUCACACGGGGACUGAGACACGGCCCCGACUCCUACGGGAGGCAGCAGUGGGGAAUUUUCCGCAAUGGGCGAAAGCCUGACGGAGUGACGCCGCGUGUGGGACGAAGGCCUUCGGGUCGUAAACCACUGUCAGUGGGAAAGAAGG
rnacentral:rRNA from 1 species